rnacentral:tRNA from 1 species
GGAUGUAGCUCAGUGGUAGAGCACUUGCCUAGCCUGUAUGAGGUCCUAGGUUCAAUCUCUAAUACCA